UACGUAGGGUGCGAGCGUUGUCCGGAAUUAUUGGGCGUAAAGGGCUCGUAGGCGGUUUGUCGCGUCGGGAGUGAAAUCCUACGGCUUAACUGUGGGCUUGCUUUCGAUACGGGCAGACUAGAGGUAUGCAGGGGAGAACGGAAUUCCUGGUGUAGCGGUGAAAUGCGCAGAUAUCAGGAGGAACACCGAUGGCGAAGGCAGGUCUCUGGGCAUUAACUGACGCUGAGGAGCGAAAGCAUGGGGAGCGAACAGG
rnacentral:rRNA from 1 species